rnacentral:misc_RNA from 1 species
ACACGCAAUCACUGUCAACUGUGCCAACAAGGACCCUCUCUACUGACACGCAAACACUGUCAACUGUGUCAACAAGCGCCCUCUUAACUACCAUGAGACACACCAGUCAUAUGCCGAGUGUGCAAUCAUCUCAAGCUGCAGCGUCCUUUACGACCGUGACCUCAAAGCAUAGACCUACUACUCACUCGACUGGGAGACACACCAGUGAAACGUCAAGUGUGCAAUCUUCUCAAGUUACAGCGUCCUUAACGACCACUAAAUCUGCGCCUGGACUAACCACUCACUCGUCAGGGAGUAAUCGAACACAGCGGACUACGAAAGCAACGACAAUGGUAUCAACAUUUUUAACAACGAGGAAGAUGGGUGGUUUCACUUGCGGUGUCGUGUGCAGUGAGUGGUGUUGUUUUUGCAAUCAUCACAGUUAUUCUUUGCAGAUAUAGACAAAAGAGACAGACCCGGUCCGAAGGUAUUUCCACUGACAGACCCCUGGAACUGUCUACCUCGGGGUCAGCUGAACCAAGUAACCUUUACUUUGUCCUCGACCCAGCCUUCAUAAAUCUAAACAAUGAAGAAGUACCAGAUGCAGAAGCAGCAUCCAAGCUGACCGACACCAGACCAGAGCACGAACGGUACUCGAAAGUAUUACCAAGGCAUUUGAGAUUCAACCAAAACGACAAGGCACGUAUUUCUGGGAAUCGUGCCGAAAUGGUUGAUAACUUUUUAUACAGCACAUCAAAACAUGAACUCAUUGAUGAAAGAGCUGACGAUGCCAUUCUGGUAAACAUGGAUACUUGUCUCGUUGAUGAUGGAAACAUUGGGGCUGGUGUUUGUUACAUGACG